AGAUGCGUAAUUCAGUAAUGUUCCUUAUAGCUACCUCCAUUCAACCACUUAGGGUCCCAUCAUGUGAUCACAGGAUUUAAUAUAAAUGUUCUGUCAGCUGCAUUCCUGUGGAACAUUGCCAUCCAGUGUGGAACAAAACCAAGUCAUGAUUCAGAUCAUGGACUUGAAAGUGGCUUUCCCAUAUCCCAGGUCAGAUGAUGAAGAAUCACUGUGAUAUCCUCCCCUCCACCCCCAAACAACCACCAUCCCUGGUAUCUGCUGUCCAGGACAAAAGGGAACAAAACCAGCCUUUUAAAGAAAAUUUUAACAGAUUUCAAACCAGAAAUCCUGCACUCCCCUGAGGCAUUAAAAAAUGCAAACUGAAGACUUCCCCUGUGUUGAGGUUAUUACUUAUUUCCUUCCAAAAACAGAAGAAGUGUUGCAACAGUUGUAAUGCUCCAGCUCACUGGGCCAAGGAGGUGUUUUCUUUCUGCACACUCAUUAACCAUGGAAAGAAAAUACCUUCUUCCUGCUGUUCCUGGAAGAGCAAACAGCAGUGUAGGAGCAGAAAGACACGUUCCCAAACUCUGAGCCAGCACAUGGACUCAAGAAGUCAAAGAACAAGGAAACCAAUCGGAACUUCCCACAAGCAAGUGACAUUGCAACAAUGUAACUAGUGACCCAGAAAAGUUACUUAAAUUUAAGAGAUGCUCACACAACUUCUUUUCAUUCCUGAAAUUUGGAGAUUUUUUAACAGUGAGAAGACUAUUCUGAAAGAGUAAAUUAAAUUAUAGAAGCACCAAAGGAAGUUAUAACAGAAGCCAUAUCCUUAGCAUUGACAGAUGAAUGUAAUAUUUUCCUCUGUUCACCAAGAUAAUAAAACUGGAAGGGUACAAAGGCCACCAGGCACAAAAUUAAGCUAGAAUUGUAAGAAAAAGGUGGUGAAGGGGAGUAGCAUUUUACUUCACUAAACAACUACUGUUAAAGUGUACCAGCACACAUCCUCUAA